UACAUUGUUGCGGAAGAGACUGAUUAAAUUCAGCGCCGAAGGAGCAACCGCCCUCGGAAACUCUCAGGCAAAAGGACCGCUUCAAUUAA
rfam:Alpha proteobacterium IMCC14465 IMCC14465_3, whole genome shotgun sequence.